CACUUCUUGAGCUUUGACACUAAACGGCCCUUGCUAGAAUCCCAAUCUGGCUCGGUUCUUGUUCUCGGCGACCUCUACCAUACGGCCCCAUUAAUCUGUGAUUCCUGCCGUAAUAGCUCUUUGAGCAUCCUUGAAAGAAGACAUGGGUGCACCAGUUUUCUUUACCUGAGCUAUAGACAAGGCUUGGAACGGAGUUCCUACCUCUUCCUCAGCUUCAACAUAUGAAAAGGAUGACAGAUGGC
rnacentral:lncRNA from 1 species